rnacentral:tRNA from 1 species
GCGGAUGUAGCUCAGUGGUAGAGCGCCAGAUUGUGGCUCUGGUGGUCGCGGGUUCAAUCCCCGUCGUUCGCCCA